GGGGCAAUGGCGCAUCUGGGAGCGCGUCAGACUGAAGUCCAAACUUCGGCCAUAGGUCAUCCCUCGGGAUCCCUGUAAUCUGAAGGUGGCCGGUUCAAGCCCGGCUUGCCCCA
rnacentral:tRNA from 1 species